rfam:Triticum aestivum genome assembly, contig: Triticum_aestivum_CS42_TGACv1_scaffold_579889_7BL
GAGGUACUCCCUCCGUCCGGAAAAGCUUGUCCCCAGCUUGUUCUUCAAAUAUGUAUCUAGCAUCAAGUUAGUACUAGAUACAUUCAUUUGAGGGACAAGCUUUUUCGGAUGGAGGGAGUAGUAG